rnacentral:lncRNA from 1 species
AUCUUCUCACAUGUGCUAAAGGGUCUCUAGACCCUAUCAAGCUUCACACAGUGCAAAUACUUUUCUGUUGUUAUACUUCAUCAUUUAUGGGAUCAUGACCCCCCCCAAAAAAAAAUUAUACAUGUUCACUGUGGCUGCAAUGCUUUGUCCAAAUAUAUUCUGUUGUAUUGGUUGAUUGGGUCUGUGGGUAAGAAAGCUAUAGUUAUGGAGUGGGGAGUUAAAUGCACAGUUUUCUGUACUAUAAAUCUCUUUUCAUGUAGGCUUGGGAUUAGCCUUUAACAGACUUGGAGAUGUAGCCACAAGUGAAUAACUCUUUUUAGAUGACCUCCAAUUCAGAGUUUCAUCAUGAAGCGUACCAUGACUUCCUAAAUCCCAGUUAAUCCUGUGAAUUCAAGAAAGUAGUUCUUGAAGAUUCUGGAACAGAGGAUGGGAAGAGUUAAGAAGAGAACAUGGUCCCACUGUUUCAAAGUACAUUCCAAUCUGGGAGUGGGGGAAGAGAGACUGGCGGUCACAAUCACUGCCUGUGGAAUGUUUGUGAGGGUUACCAUGGCUUCCCGACAUUCUGAAAGUGCUUAGCCUGAGAGGCCCCACAUAAUCUUCACAGUUCAGCGGUCUCUGAAUUGUCACCAUGUAACCUUCUUGCCUGUUAUCUGUUUACUCUGGGGAUGACUCAUGACUAGUCACUAGCCCAGUAACUUUGUAACCUUUCCCCCGGAGAAUGUGUCUGGAUGUCACAGAUCUGUGCCACCUUCAGCUUUCUCUUUUCAGGGCUCAACUUGCUUCCAACAAUAUCACUAGUUUUUAUGAGUGUUAUGUGAAGCCGCAAUAGACAACAUCUCCUCAUCUGCCCUAGCAGGCAGGAUGGGGUUCUGCCUUCUGCGUGGAGCAUGAUGGGUGAGAGGAAGCAGAGGCUGGAGAGAUGGAGGACCCACAGUUUGAAAGGAGAUGAACCCCACAGGACGCUUCCACAGAGUGAUGCUGGCCAGCCCACCUUGGACCACAGGAAGCUCCCUAAGGAAAAGAUGCAGACAAUCUCUGGGAGCCGUUUCUCCUGCGAGCAAAGUACCAUAUCAGGAAUUCCAGACAUCUGACGUUAGCAGGU